CUCUCUCUCUCUCUUGACAUCAUCGAUGCCGAAAAUGGCAAAAAGAAGGGCCCGCGUUUUUGUUUAGCUGUUGUGUGGUCGAGAAUGGCAAGUGCAUUUAUUGCUCUUCCAUUUCUCAGCCAUCCACCGAGUCUCGACCCAAACACGGUAUAACUUCGUCCCUCCUUUGCUUUUUCUGCACUGUACAACGUCCAUGGACUGAAAAUCCUUAAUUAGUUUUGUUGUUACUCAUUUGAAAUCCUCAACCCUCAUUGGUUCAUAAAGAACCAGUUGGAUCGAGUUUGUCUGGUCAAAUCUGACCCUUUAUUUGUUUGAUUACUUGAUUUUUGGCCAUUGGAUGUAGUAUUGAGAGAUGCAAUUCUCAAACUGCAAAACUCCCACAUCAAAAAUGAGUUAGGUUUUUGAGAUUUUGGGGUUCUAUUAUAGAACACCCAAUUUGCAUUGGAAAAAAAAAAAGAAGAGGAGGAGCAUACUGAAAUAUCAAUAUACUCAGAAAAAUCGAAUUACCUCGGGUUUCUAUUUCUGAGACCUUUACUUAUUUGAAUUAGUUAAAUUUUUAAAGUUUUAAUUGUUGUUCUUGUGCAUGGUCGAGCAAAGGAGAAUCAUGAGGGCCGAUCCAAGUCCAUUCUCGACCAAGCUGCACCAAAGAAAGAGUCUUACAGGUUGAUAGCUUGAUUCGAGAGUUUUUGGAGGAUGCGCAGUGUUUAUCUUGAAGACCUCCAUUAUCUUCAUUCCUAGAUGGAGGCUGAGCUUUAUUUAUCUACUUUGAGUAUUGUUCAAAUCUUAGUCGCUCUUGUACUAGUCUAGACGAGGUCUUGGGAAGGUUGUUAUGUAUAAGCCACUUUUGUAAUUUUUUCGCUCAAUUAUAAAAAGAGUUAAUUCUGCUUU